AUUUGAUUUCGGUUCCCGUAUUUAUAAUGGGAGGGGAGGAGUUAGUUAAGAAUUCAAAAUUCGAAAUUCGAAUUUUGAAUUAUUUGUUGGAUGGUUGGAGGAUAUUUGGGGAGUGGUUGGGAAUUCAAAAUUCGAAUUCGAAAUCGAAUGAGUUGUUGGAUAGUUGGAAGAUAUUUUGGGAGUUGGUUAGGGAAUUCGAAAUUCGAAAUCGAAUUUUGAAUGUGUUGUUGGAUGAUAUUUUGGGAAUUGGUUAGGUAAUUCAAAAUUCGAAAUCGAAUUUUGAAUGGGUUGUUUGAUGAUAUUUUGGGAAUUGGUUAGGGAAUUCAAAAUUCGAAAUCGAAUUUUGAAUGGAUGAUGUUUUGGGAAUUGGUUAGGGAAUUCAAAAUUCAAAAUCGAAUUUUGAAUGGGUUGUUGGAUGAUAUUUUGGGAAUUGGUUAGGGAAUUCAAAAUUCGAAAUCGAAUUUUGAAUGGGUUAUUGGAUGAUGUUUUGGGAAUUGAUUAGGGAAUUCAAAAUUCGAAAUCGAAUUUUGAAUGGGUUGUUGGAUGAUAUUUUGGGAAUUGGUUAGGGAAUUCAAAAUUCGAAAUCGAAUUUUGAAUGGGUUGUUGGAUGAUGUUUUGGGAAUUGGUUAGGUAAUUCAAAAUUCGAAAUCGAAUGGGUUGUUGGAUGAUAUUUUGGGAAUUGGUUAGUGAAUUCAAAAUUCGAAAUCGAAUUUUGAAUAAGUUGUUGGAGGAUGUUUUGGGAAUUGGUUAGGGAAUUCGAAAUUCGAAUUCGAAUUUCAAAUGGGUUAUGAGAUGGUUAGGUAUUCAAAAUUCGAAAUCGAAUUUUGAAUCGGUUAUUGGAUGAUGUUUUGGGAAUUGGUUGGGAGUUCGAAAUUCGAAAUCGAAUUUUGAAUAGGUUGUGAUUUGAAAUCGAAUUUCGAACAGAUAUUUUAUAUAAUGUGGAUGUGGGCCGUCGUUGAUCAGGCCCGCUUUAAUUUAUUGGGCCCAAANUUUUAUAUAAUGUGGAUGUGGGCCGUCGUUGAUCAGGCCCGCUUUAAUUUAUUGGGCCCAAAUGAUAAUAUUUAAUGGGCUGGAAUAAGGCCCCCCCCCCCGGUUUUCUUUUAUUUGUUUGGGCUUUUAUGAGGCCCACCAACUCACAUUUAUGAAUGGGCCUAUUGUGGAUUUUAAAUUGUAAUUAUUGGCCCCAAAAUUUUCUAGUCAACAUGAGAC
rnacentral:lncRNA from 1 species